rnacentral:lncRNA from 1 species
CCCCAGCAAGCUAUGAAGAUUUGGUUUAUGUCUAACAACUUGUACAACAAGAUAAACUUAGAUCCAAAAGGAUUGCAAUCCAGAUAAUUGUUUGACAUGUAAAGUCGAUAAGAUGAGUCAGUGCCAAUUAUCAUGUUUUCGUCACUCUUAGAUGAUAUGUACAAUAAAAGGCAACUUUGAUGACCACUCCAAAAUUACAUUUGUAUGUAGUGCCACCAAACACAACACACCAAAUAAUCAGUUUGAUAAGCAUCAAAUCACUUUAAAAAAAUAAAAGCUAUAAUGAAAAGAAACCUAACCAUGGUAGCUAUAAAAAGGAUGCAAUAUGUAGACUCCAUACCAUCAUCCAUCCUUCACACAACUAGAGCACAAGUAUCAAAUCCAAUUAAGUAGUAGCCAACACAAAUCCACCAUGAAGACCUUAUUCAUCCUAACAAUCCUUGCGAUGGCAACAACUAUCGCCACCGCGAAUAUGCAGGUCGACCCCAGCGGCCAAGUACAAUGGCCACAACAACAACCAUUCCGCCAGCCCCAACAACCAUUCUACCAGCAACCACAACACACAUUUCCCCAACCCCAACAAACAUUCCCCCAUCAACCACAACAACAAUUUCCCCAGCCCCAGCAACCACAACAACAAUUUCCGCAGCCCCAGCAACCACAACAACCAUUUCCCCAGCCCCAACAAGCCCAACUACCAUUUCCCCAACAACCACAACAACCAUUCCCCCAGCCUCAACAACCCCAACAACCAUUUCCCCAGUCACAGCAACCACAACAACCUUUUCCCCAGCCCCAACAACCGCAACAAUCAUUCCCCCAGCAACAACAACCGUUGAUUCAGCCAUAUCUACAACAACAGAUGAACCCUUGCAAGAAUUACCUCUUACAGCAAUGCAACCCUGUGUCAUUGGUGUCAUCCCUCGUGUCAAUGAUCUUGCCACGAAGUGAUUGCCAGGUGAUGCAGCAACAAUGUUGCCAACAACUAGCACAGAUUCCUCGCCAGCUCCAGUGUGCAGCCAUCCAUAGCGUCGUGCAUUCCAUCGUCAUGCAGCAAGAACAACAACAAGGCAUACAGAUCCUCCGGCCACUGUUUCAGCUCGUCCAAGGUCAGGGCAUCAUCCAACCUCAACAACCAGCUCAAUAUGAGGUGAUCAGGUCAUUGGUAUUGAGAACCCUUCCAAACAUGUGCAACGUGUAUGUCCGACCUGACUGCUCCACCAUCAACGCACCAUUUGCCAGCAUAGUCGCCGGCAUCAGUGGACAAUGAAAAAUGAAGAGUUAUGCUAAUAGGUAGAUGGAUCAUCGUUGCUUAGCUGAUGCACCAGUCUUUGUAGCGAUGAGGAAUAAAGUGGCGUGCACCAUCAUGUGUGACCCCGACCAGAGCUAGUUCAAGCUUCAGAAUAAAACACAAACAAAGUUCUUGUUUGCUAGCUUCGCUUUUCACUGUUCCAUUUACUUUUUAUUUUCAUGUUCGUUCCUAACCGCAAUCCUAGCCUUACACAUCAAUAGCUAGCUACUUCUGCUGGCAGGUUACUAUUUAAUCUAUCGAUUAAUGGUCGAUGUAUUAAUCCAGUUAAUAGGUUGAUUGAUAUAUUAGUUACUGCUCCCAAGCCGACCGAGCGCUAUCAGUUAGGGAUUUCCUGAACAUUGCACACAAUAAUAAUUCAAUGUAUUUCAAUGUCUAGAAGUGAAAGGGCCAUUUUAGCACCAAAACAAGAGGCUGAUUAGAAACCAUCCAUCACUCUAAAUGUUAAUCUGAAUAUUUUUGCAUUGGUGCAAUUUUGAGUUUGGUGGCACCGAAGCAUUCUUCAAAAGCAAAUUUUAGGGGACUCCAAAGAGGUGAAAAUCAAACCAAAGUUGCCACAUGGUAAAAGAUAAACCAUGCGGUGAGCAAGAGAAAAUAAUUAGUCACAAUAGCAAGAACCAAACACUUGAUAUGAUUUCGUGCGGAGAUGGAAACAAUUUAUAUAUGACAAACAAAGCAUAAGUUGCAUUAGUUUUAAUUGAUUGUAGAAAUUUAUUUUACCUGUAGAAUAACUCAGUUGUUAUCUCUUUAAACAUGCAUUGUGAUAUUGACUUGUCUCAAUCUAUGAACACAAAGCAAAUAUUGCAUUUGCGGUUAUGGUCUCCAAACAGAUGAGAAAUCAGUCUGUGUAGAAAGUUCCUUAGAAGGAUAUUACUGAAUCAAGGAAAUAUUGUAGGAGUAAGAACUGGGGAAAGUAGUGGCUGCACCCACCCUCGGUGCACCCACGGUGCACUCACGCAAGAAAACAUAUCAGAACAUUUCGAAAAAAUCUGAAACUUCGUGGAGAUGAUCAUCAACAAAUGUCACGAGGGCUUGCAAAGUUUGGUGGUCAAAUAACAUUCAAGAAGCGCUCUACAAAAAAGACAAAAUUGCAAAAUCUGCUCAAACGGUGCACGUACAUUUUGACUAAUUUUCAGUGAUUUUGUCUUUUUUGUAGAGAGCUCCUCGAAUGUUAUUUGACCACCAAAUUUUGCAAGCCCCCAUAACAUUUGUUGAUGAUCAUUUCCACGAAGUUUCAGAUUUUUUCAAAAUGUUUUGAUAUGUUUUCUUGCGUGGGUGCACCGUGGGUGCACCGGGAGUGGGUGUAGAAGAACCACUCUCGUAAGAACUGGAAUGGGGAAAAACUGGAGCGCUUUAUCCAGCCUCCUCUCUAUAUUCUACAUGGAUAUCGUCUGUUACAUCUUAGCCCCCAACUGUUACAUGUUCACACAUUUAUAUAACUCAACAGGAUAUAAUAGUUUUGAGCUAAACAAAUUUACUAUUGUACUCAUGUCUUGCAUAGUUAAAGUUGAAAAUCAACGUAAGUAGUGGAUAGUUUGAAAGACAAGUGUGGGAAACAAAUAGUAGGAUAUAAAUUUGAGUAGAAUGUGUGAUCAAUUGUUGACCACAUAGCCCAGCAAACUACUAAAACUAAGAAAAACAAGAUAUUCUACCUUGUACAAACUGUCACAUUGAUAAAACUAUGAUUUGUUUUUGAAAAAUCUGUAGCCCGGAACUAAUAUAAAUUCAAACAAAUCUGUCACAGAUCCCUGAGCCCAUCCAAAAAUUAAUGGUAGUGGAAACUGAAAGAACUAUUAACACGAUUAGACCCAAAUGAUCUAUGUUCCAACAAUUAAUGAUAUUUGAAACUAAAACACGAGUGUUCUAUGUUCUACUACCUAUGUGUAUAAAUAUAAGACGUUUGGCGGUUUAAAAUGAACUGCCAAAAUGUCCUAUAUUAAGGAACAGCGGGUGUACCAAGUAUAUUCUAUGGUCCAAAUUUGUUCAUGUAAAGUGUAUCUUUAACUGAUGCCCUAAAAAAUAGCGGUGUAAUUAGCCGAGUAAAAGAUUUGUGGAGUAAAUUUACUCAACUAACUUUUGGCUGCACCUAACGGAUCUCCUAAAUUUAGCAGAAGUAAUAUUUUCUUGUCACAUUCAUUUCAUUUUCAGCCACUGAAAUAUAUCGGAAUACACAAUUAACAAAUUCUUCAUGAAAAAAAUGAAACCAAAAAAACUAAAACCACAAUUAGACACUUUAAUAGAAAUUCAACUUCCAUAACUGCUGCUGAAAGUUGGUAAACAGAUUUCAGACUUAGUGAAAUUAACGCUUGUCUGGAAUUUCAGAUCAGAUAGCACUCUUUGGAGCAUGAAAACAAUAUGCUACAGGACCUGAACAUGACAAAGUAAAGCAUGGCAUGGAGCUACUCAAAGAGCUUAACAAAAGUCCCUUAGUGACCUUGAUCCAAAAUGGAUUAGAAAAUACAUUUGCAAGCAUGUGAACAUGGCAAAAACAUAAUCAGUUCUCAGACUUAGUGAAAACUGGAGCAUGCUAAAACAGAUAUCAAGUAAGCAUGUUUACGAGCUUGAUGCACUCACUACAGAGCAAGUCAUGACAAUCUAAGCAUACACACAUCAAGAAUACACAAAAUAAAAGCUAGACAUGGCACGAACAAUAACAUAGCAUGCACGGAUCAACUACAACAUCAUCGGCAAAAUUGCUAACAAGUAGACAAUCUGCCCAGAUUCACGAAAUAGCAAAAGUAGAGCUCGAUUGACUCAAUCUAGGGUGCUCCAUAAUUUCAAACAAAGACAUAUAUGGAUAGAGCACUACAAGAUUAACAAAACAUCUUUACUGAUCAUCCUCAAAAGAGGCACGGAUCACUAGGAAUCAACAUGAACAUAUGGCAUAUUGAGAUAACCAGCCAAGGACUUAGUGGAAAUGCCAAGUCCCUGAAAUCAGCAUUAACGAAUGCUCCACUUUGCAAGCUUGUGCUAGUCACCACACACAUCACAAAAAUACAUGGGUUGCACCUCUGGAUAGAUGGCAAAACAUGUAACAAAACUCAUGUAGAGCUCAGGGGCAUAUCAUGCACACAAUAAUCAUGGCAAAAAUGACAAAUAUCUAAUUGGAGCAUCAGAUCUGACAAUUAUCUCAAAUAGCACUCUUUCAACAGCAUUUCGGGCAUCAAGAUUAACUCAAAUGAAAAUGAUGCAAUGAGAUGAAAUGAUGUACUCUCUGAGAUGAACAUUUUGAUAUGCUAUAUGCCCAAAACGGAGCUACAUAUGCGGAGAUAUAGCAUGAUGAAAAACGCACAAAACUAGGGUUAGGGACGAAAAAGUCAACCAAGAGGGAGUUUCCAGAUCCAGAUCGGGAUCUCACGAGUACUGUAGCGGCACGGAGUACGAGGUUCGUCGCUGGAUUUGGGCCGGCCGGAGUUGGACGGCGAGGCGGCCGGAGAGAGGGAGGCGCCGGAGUGGGGCGGCACCGGCCGGUGAGGAGGAGGCGGCCGCGGUCGUCGACGAGGUAGCGCGGCGGGGUGGCGACCGGAGCGGCACGGUCGCCGGCGAGGUUGAGCUGCGGCGCGGUGGCAUGGAUCGCCGGAGACGGAGGAGAGGGGCGGCGCGGUGAGCCGGAGAGGAGGCGGGGCGGAGCGGGCCGCGGGGGCCGUGGUUGGGCCCGGCGGGCUUCUGCGAUGUGGGGUGCGCCGGCGCAAUGUGGCGGAGCGCGGUAGGUCGGGCGGCAGCGGGCGGACAUGUCCGGUCCGCUCCGGANNNNNNNNNNNNNNNNNNNNNNNNNNNNNNNNNNNNNNNNNNNNNNNNNNNNNNNNNNNNNNNNNNNNNNNNNNNNNNNNNNNNNNNNNNNNNNNNNNNNNNNNNNNNNNNNNNNNNNNNNNNNNNNNNNNNNNNNNNNNNNNNNNNNNNNNNNNNNNNNNNNNNNNNNNNNNNNNNNNNNNNNNNNNNNNNNNNNNNNNNNNNNNNNNNNNNNNNNNNNNNNNNNNNNNNNNNNNNNNNNNNNNNNNNNNNNNNNNNNNNNNNNNNNNNNNNNNNNNNNNNNNNNNNNNNNNNNNNNNNNNNNNNNNNNNNNNNNNNNNNNNNNNNNNNNNNNNNNNNNNNNNNNNNNNNNNNNNNGAGCUAGGAAGCUCCAAAUGGAGUCCGGUUUUCGGCCAUGCGAUUGUGAUUGAACGCUCUAGAUGAUGGAGAAGGUUUUGGUGGGUUUUGGGCCAAAAUGGAGAGGUGUUGGGUUGCAACACACCCGAGGCCUUUUCAGUCCCUCGGUUAACCGUUGGAGCAUCAAACGAAGUCCAAAUGGUACGAAACUUGACAGGCGGCCUACCGGUAGUAAACCAAGGCCGCUUGGCAAGUCUCGGUCCAAUCCGGAAAUGUUUAAUCCCCACACACGAAAGAAAGGUAGAAAUGACCACCGGAGGAGAACGGAGCGCCGGAAUGCAAAACGGACAACGGGGAAAAUGCUCGAAUGCAUGAGAUGAACACGUAUGCAAAUGCAGUGCACAUGACGACAUGAUAUGAGAUGCAUGACAACGAUAACAACACACGGAGACAAAGACCCGAACCCGAGAAAAUAAAAUAACUUAACGCCGGAAACGACAAGAGUUGGAGUACAUAUUGGGAAAAUCAUAUCCGGGGUGUUACAGUUUUCCUCUCCUCCACUUCACCCUUGCCGUUUUAUUCGCCCUCUCUCUCUAUCCUCCCUCUCUUUCUCUAUUUGCCUCUUUUUGCCCGUUUCUCGUUUGCUUCUGUGUUGGAUUGCUUGCUUGUCAUGAUGGCUCAAGAUAACAUUAAAUUGUGUGACUUUACCAAUACCAACAACAAUGAUUUUAUUAGCACUCUGAUUUCUCCUCUUACCGAUGCUGAAUCUUGUGAAAUUAAUGCUGCCUUGCUGAAUCUUGUCAUGAAAGAUCCAUUUUCCGGCCUUCCUAGUGAAGAUGCUGCUACCCAUCUAAAUAGCUUCGUUGAUUUGUGUGAUAUGCAAAAGAAGAAAGAUGUGGAUAAUGAUAUUGUUAAAUUGAAGCUAUUUCCUUUUUCUCUUAGAGUUCGUGCUAAAGCUUUGUUUUCGUCUUUGCCUAAAAUAGUUUUGAUUCGUGGAAUAAGUGCAAAGAUGCUUUUAUCUCUAAGUAUUUUCCUCCCGCUAAGAUCAUCUCUCUUAGAAACAAUAUUAUGAAUUUUAAGCAACUUGAUCAUGAACAUGUUGCACAAGCUUGGGAGAGGAUGAAAUUAAUGAUACGUAAUUGCCCAACACAUGGUUUGAAUUUGUGGAUGAUUAUACAAAAAAUUUACGCUGGAUUGAAUUUUUCUUAUAGAAAUCUUUUAGAUUCGGCCGCGGGAGGCACUUUUAUGGAAAUCACUUUAGGAGAAGCUACUAAACUCCUAGAUAAUAUUAUGGUUAAUUAUUCUUAAUGGCACACUGAAAGAUCUACUAAUAAAAAAGUGCAUGUGAUAGAAGAAAUUAAUGUUUUGAGUGGAAAGAUGGAUGACUUAUGAAAUUAUUUUUUAAUAAAAGUGUUUCUUCUGAUCCAAAUGAUACGCCUUUGUCUACUUUGAUUGAGAAUAAUAAUGAAUGUAAGGAUGUGAAUUUUGUUGGUAGGAACAAUUUUGGUAACAACGCGUAUAGAGAAAAUUUAAUCCUAGGCCUUAUCCUAGUAAUUCCUCUAAUAAUUAUGGUAAUUCCUACAACAAUUCUUAUGGAAAUUAUAAUAAUGCCCUCUGAUUUUGAAUAUAAUAUUAAAGAAUUUAUUAUUUCGCAAAAGAAUUUCAAUGCUUUGAUUGAAGAAAAUUUGCAUAAGACUGAUGAGUUGGCUAGGAACGUUGAUAGAAUUUCUCUUGAUGUUGAUUCUUUGAAACUUAGAUCUAUUCCACCUAAGCAUGAUAUCAAUGAGUAUCUCAAAACCAUGAGAAUUUGCAUUGAUGAGUGCAAAGAAAGAACCGCUAGGAUGCGUGCUAAGAAAGAUUCCUUUAUAAGAGCGUGUUCUUCUAGUUUCCAUGAUAAUAAAGAUGAAGAUCUAAAAGUUAUUGAUGUGUCCCCUAUUAAAUCUUUGUUUUGCAAUAUGAAUCUUGAUAAUGAUGGGACUGAAUAUGAUCCACCUUUACCUAGAAGGCGUUCCAAAAAUUCGGAGUUUUUAGAUCUUGAUGCUAAAAUUUAUAAAAGUGGGAUUAAAGAGAUCAAAACUCUAGAUACUAAUGAACCUACUAUUCGGAGUUUUUAUUGUAUUUCCUUGUUGCAAUCCGUGUUAAAUUCUCCUCAUGCUUAUAGUCAAAAUAAAGCUUUUACCAAACAGUUAUCAUGAACAACUUCAACUAAAUGCAUCAAAUGUUACAAAUAAUACAUACAAACUUAGUUUAAUAAAUUAAUGAAUUAAAGCGAGAACAAACCUUCAAAUGUAAUUUAGAGUGAAUCAAUUAAGACCAUGUAAAGCUAUUACUAGUCCAAUAUUAAUUAAUAACUUGCACAUAAUUGCAACCAUUGACAUAAAAAGGGAAUAUGAUGAGUCAUGUAUUGAGAAUGUGUACAACAUUACUACCAUUGACAUAAAAGGAGAAUUUGAUGAGUCGUAUCAGCUUGUUCAUCUUACCAUUAUACUACACAACACUGCAAGCUAGUUUAAAAAAAAUAAGAGUACAGAAUGAACAUUAGAAUAGCCUGAUCUAUCUUUGACAACAUGCACAAGGAUACAAAUUUAGUCCCCCGCAAGCUAUGAAGAUUUGGUUUAUGUCUAACAACUUGUACAACAAGAUAAACUUAGAUCCAAAAGGAUUGCAAUCCAGAUAAUUGUUUGACAUGUAAAGUCGAUAAGAUGAGUCAGUGCCAAUUAUCAUGUUUUCGUCACUCUUAGAUGAUAUGUACAAUAAAAGGCAACUUUGAUGACCACUCCAAAAUUACAUUUGUAUGUAGUGCCACCAAACACAACACACCAAAUAAUCAGUUUGAUAAGCAUCAAAUCACUUUAAAAAAAUAAAAGCUAUAAUGAAAAGAAACCUAACCAUGGUAGCUAUAAAAAGGAUGCAAUAUGUAGACUCCAUACCAUCAUCCAUCCUUCACACAACUAGAGCACAAGUAUCAAAUCCAAUUAAGUAGUAGCCAACACAAAUCCACCAUGAAGACCUUAUUCAUCCUAACAAUCCUUGCGAUGGCAACAACUAUCGCCACCGCGAAUAUGCAGGUCGACCCCAGCGGCCAAGUACAAUGGCCACAACAACAACCAUUCCGCCAGCCCCAACAACCAUUCUACCAGCAACCACAACACACAUUUCCCCAACCCCAACAAACAUUCCCCCAUCAACCACAACAACAAUUUCCCCAGCCCCAGCAACCACAACAACAAUUUCCGCAGCCCCAGCAACCACAACAACCAUUUCCCCAGCCCCAACAAGCCCAACUACCAUUUCCCCAACAACCACAACAACCAUUCCCCCAGCCUCAACAACCCCAACAACCAUUUCCCCAGUCACAGCAACCACAACAACCUUUUCCCCAGCCCCAACAACCGCAACAAUCAUUCCCCCAGCAACAACAACCGUUGAUUCAGCCAUAUCUACAACAACAGAUGAACCCUUGCAAGAAUUACCUCUUACAACAAUGCAACCCUGUGUCAUUGGUGUCAUCCCUCGUGUCAAUGAUAUUGCCACGAAGUGAUUGCCAGGUGAUGCAGCAACAAUGUUGCCAACAACUAGCACAGAUUCCUCGCCAGCUCCAGUGUGCAGCCAUCCAUAGCGUCGUGCAUUCCAUCGUCAUGCAGCAAGAACAACAACAAGGCAUACAGAUCCUCCGGCCACUGUUUCAGCUCGUCCAAGGUCAGGGCAUCAUCCAACCUCAACAACCAGCUCAAUAUGAGGUGAUCAGGUCAUUGGUAUUGAGAACCCUUCCAAACAUGUGCAACGUGUAUGUCCGACCUGACUGCUCCACCAUCAACGCACCAUUUGCCAGCAUAGUCGCCGGCAUCAGUGGACAAUGAAAAAUGAAGAGUUAUGCUAAUAGGUAGAUGGAUCAUCGUUGCUUAGCUGAUGCACUAGUCUUUGUAGCGAUGAGGAAUAAAGUGGCGUGCACCAUCAUGUGUGACCCCGACCAGAGCUAGUUCAAGCUUCAGAAUAAAACACAAACAAAGUUCUUGUUUGCUAGCUUCGCUUUUCACUGUUCCAUUUACUUUUUAUUUUCAUGUUCGUUCCUAACCGCAAUCCUAGCCUUACACAUCAAUAGCUAGCUACUUCUGCUGGCAGGUUACUAUUUAAUCUAUCGAUUAAUGGUCGAUGUAUUAAUCCAGUUAAUAGGUUGAUUGAUAUAUUAGUUACUGCUCCCAAGCCGACCGAGCGCUAUCAGUUAGGGAUUUCCUGAACAUUGCACACAAUAAUAA